rnacentral:tRNA from 1 species
CGGGGCGUGGCGCAGUCUGGUAGCGCACCGGUUUUGGGAACCGGGGGUCGCCGGUUCGAGUCCGGCCGCCCCGA